rnacentral:rRNA from 1 species
AAUCCUGUAGUCGAAAAUGUUGUCUCUCUUGAGUGGAUCCUGAGUACGACGGAGCACGUGAAAUUCCGUCGGAAUCUGGGAGGACCAUCUCCUAAGGCUAAAUACUCUCUAGUGACCGAUAGUGAACCAGUACCGUGAGGGAAAGGUGAAAAGCACCCCGGAAGGGGAGUGAAAUAGAACCUGAAACCGUGUGCUUACAAGUAGUCAGAGCCCGUUAAUGGGUGAUGGCGUGCCUUUUGUAGAAUGAACCGGCGAGUUACGAUUUGAUGCAAGGUUAAGCAGUAAAUGUGGAGCCGUAGCGAAAGCGAGUCUGAAUAGGGCGUUUAGUAUUUGGUCGUAGACCCGAAACCAGGUGAUCUACCCUUGGUCAGGUUGAAGUUCAGGUAACACUGAAUGGAGGACCGAACCGACUUACGUUGAAAAGUGAGCGGAUGAACUGAGGGUAGCGGAGAAAUUCCAAUCGAACCUGGAGAUAGCUGGUUCUCUCCGAAAUAGCUUUAGGGCUAGCCUCAAGUGAUGAUUAUUGGAGGUAGAGCACUGUUUGGACGAGGGGCCCCUCUCGGGUUACCGAAUUCAGACAAACUCCGAAUGCCAAUUAAUUUAACUUGGGAGUC